ACUGAUAAACAUAAAGAACCACAUCUCUGUUUCUGUGGUUCAACUUAAGAUACUGAAACCUGAAGUUGUCUGUUUUGUCUCAUCUGUUCAGCAGUUAUUGAUGUGUUGUCAUCACUGUUGUCUACUCUGACUUCUAGAUGAAAUUACGUUUGUAUAGUCAAAGUCUGGUUCUCUAAGCUCUCUAGCCAUCAUUAAACAGGCGCACUGUGAGAUUAUUCCUGCAAAAAACUAUUAAUGUGUGAAAAAGCUUGAUUCAUUUUAGAAGCUUUUGCACAAACUAGACAGUGUUUUGAACAGAUAUUGUAUAUCAUAAAAACAAAGUUCAUUUACAGUGACUUGCAAAAGUUUAUACCCCCUCAAACUUUUUCACAUUUUGUCUCACAUUUGCUGUGCAUUUUAUAUUCAACCCCCUUUACUGUGAUACCCCUAAUUAAAUCAAUUUGCUUUCAGAAGUCACCUAAUUAGUAAGUACAAACUUAGAGUGUCUGCAAAAAGUAUUCACCCCCUUGGCAUAUUUUAUGUUUGCCUCACAACCUGGAAUUAAAAUUGAUUGUUUGAAAGGUUACAUUAUUUAAUUUACAGAAUAUGCCUCUAACCGGGCUGGGCGUGUCACCUCCUGCUGCACCUCCUUGCAGGUGCAGCUCAUCAGGUGCAAUCAGCCUCAUUCCACUGGCAGCAUAAAGGAGCAGGAAGCCAGUCACUCUUCGCCUGAGUGUUAACCCUCACCGGUAUUACCCAGUUCCAAUUCCUACGUGCAGUUUUUCCUGUGAACUUACCUCCAUCAUUACAAGGACCUCCCAUUGUUACCUAGAUCACGCUCCCACAACUGGCUUCCGUUCCGCUGACCAACCAAUCCAUCUUCAACCUCGUCUUCUGCACUACCAGUUCGCCCAGCACCACUACAGUCUUCAUUACCCUCUGGAUUUCAUCAACGCUAUGGAACAAACAUCCAUUUACCGGACUCCCCGCUAUUAACAACCCCAUCGACCACUCACCUUCCCCCCGGCGGACCAUCAUACAUCAUCUGGAAAAAGAUGCCGGUUUUGUUUGGAUCUCCUUCUGACCUCCAGGGACUCCGACGCCAGACUCCUCUGUCUACCUAAAACUUCUAAACAGGGUUUAGAGGCUGGAAAGACGGAUUCCAGGUUGUACCAAAUCUUCGCUCGAUGUCCCCGGAAUAAAUCAGCCAAGGAAAUCCCACUUCUGACACCAACUGUAAAUGCAAAAUGUAAAAAUGCACCCCAAUAAAUUCAGUAAAUAAGGGAGAUUGCUGAGAAUCAAAAUGGCAAUUCUUGCAAGAAUUGAGAACGGACAGAGGAUGCAAUCAAACCAGUGUCUCAGUCUGCCCACUCUGCUCUAGACAGGAACUCACUAGCUUUUUAGAGGUCAUUCACAAGCUGAGAAUGUAAUUAACAAUACACAAAAGACAAGGAGAUAAAACAUCCCUUGAGCAUCAGAUAUCUAACCCCAAAGAGAAGAGAGGGAUGUUCUCUUGGGCAAGCAAAACCUCCAUAUCAGGAAAGCCUUGC